CAACGAUGAAGAGUUUGAUCCUGGCUCAGGAUGAACGCUAGCGGCAGGCCUAACACAUGCAAGUCGAGGGGCAGCAUGGAUUGCUUGCAAUCCGAUGGCGACCGGCGCACGGGUGCGCACCGCGUAUGGAACCUGCCUUUUGCAGGGGAAUAGCCCAGGGAAACUUGGAUUAAUGCCCCGUAGUACCAUUAUGCAGCAUUGCAUUUUGGUUAAAGCCUUCGGGCGGCAAGAGAUGGCCAUGCGUCCCAUUAGCUUGAUGGUAAGGUAACGGCUUACCAUGGCUACGAUGGGUAGGGGCCCUGAGAGGGGGAUCCCCCACACUGGUACUGAGACACGGACCAGACUCCUACGGGAGGCAGCAGUGAGGAAUAUUGGA
rnacentral:rRNA from 1 species